rnacentral:rRNA from 1 species
GAGUUUGAUCGUGGCUCAGAUUGAACGCUGGCGGCAGGCCUAACACAUGCAAGUCGAGCGGAUGAAGGGAGCUUGCUCCUGGAUUCAGCGGCGGACGGGUGAGUAAUGCCUAGGAAUCUGCCUGGGUAGUGGGGGAUAACGUCCGGAAACGGGCGCUAAUACCGCAUACGUCCUGAGGGAGAAAGUGGGGGAUCUUCGGACCUCACGCUAUCAGACGAGCCUAGGUCGGAUUAGCUAGUUGGUGGGGUAAAGGCCUACCAAGGCGACGAUCCGUAACUGGUCUGAGAGGAUGAUCAGUCACACUGGAACUGAGACACGGUCCAGACUCCUACGGGAGGCAGCAGUGGGGAAUAUUGGACAAUGGGCGAAAGCCUGAUCCAGCCAUGCCGCGUGUGUGAAGAAGGUCUUCGGAUUGUAAAGCACUUUAAGUUGGGAGGAAGGGCAGUAAGUUAAUACCUUGCUGUUUUGACGUUACCAACAGAAUAAGCACCGGCUAACUUCGUGCCAGCCGCCGCCGU